AAUAGAUACCCCGGUAGUCCACGCCGUAAACGAUGAGUGCUAAGUGUUAGAGGGUUUCCGCCCUUUAGUGCUGCAGCUAACGCAUUAAGCACUCCGCCUGGGGAGUACGGCCGCAAGGCUGAAACUCAAAGGAAUUGACGGGGGCCCGCACAAGCGGUGGAGCAUGUGGUUUAAUUCGAAGCAACGCGAAGAACCUUACCAGGUCUUGACAUCCUCUGCCAACCCUAGAGAUAGGGCGGUUCCCCUUCGGGGGACAGAGUGACAGGUGGUGCAUGGUUGUCGUCAGCUCGUGUCGUGAGAUGUUGGGUUAAGUCCCGCAACGAGCGCAACCCUUGAUCUUAGUUGCCAGCAUUCAGUUGGGCACUCUAAGGUGACUGCCGGUGACAAACCGGAGGAAGGUGGGGAUGACGUCAAAUCAUCAUGCCCCUUAUGACCUGGGCUACACACGUGCUACAAUGGAUGGUACAAAGAGCUGCGAACCCGCGAGGGUAAGCGAAUCUCAUAAAGCCAUUCUCAGUUCGGA
rnacentral:rRNA from 1 species